UGAUUGGGUGCUUUUUCUUGUAUUUCUUAUAAAUUGAUUUGAUUUAUCUACUUGCUUAUAUAUUCAGGAUCCUUAAAGUUUCCACUGAAGAACUAUGCCAUCGUUUUGAUGAAGAGAUACCUGAAAGUGCUAGGCAACCUUCAGUCUACCCUAGGAAUUUUGUAGAGUUUUGCUCAUACAAGGCAAUGGAUGCAGCAACAAAAGGUGACUCCUGAUGUGCAUUUCCAAAAUGAUUUGGGUCUAGAUAGCUUGGACAACGUAGAGAUUGUAAUGGCACUGGAAGAAGAAUUUAAGCUUGAAAUCCCAGAUUUGGAAGCUGAUAAAAUUGACUCCCGUUGUCUUGCUAUUGAGUACAUCUACAACCAUCGUAUGGCUGGUUAAUUCGAGCUCAUGCAUCUUUUGACUAUCCUGUAUUGUGUGGACAAUGAGCUGCUCAGCCUCCUCUUUGGUUGCUUUGUCUUGAGCGUGAAGCAGAGGAUGGAAAAUAAUCUCAAGUUUUGUGAUAAAA